GAGGCGAACCGGGGGAACUGAAACAUCUAAGUACCCCGAGGAAAAGAAAUCAACCGAGAUUCCGAAAGUAGCGGCGAGCGAAAUUGGACUAGCCCUUAAGCUUUACACGCGUUAGACGAACGGUCUGGAAAGUCCGACGAUACAGGGUGAUAGUCCCGUAGUUGACGACGUGUGUUCAGUGAAAUCGAGUAGGGCGGGACACGUGAUAUCCUGUCUGAAUAUGGGGGGACCAUCCUCCAAGGCUAAAUACUACUGACUGACCGAUAGUGAACCAGUACCGUGAGGGAAAGGCGAAAAGAACCCCUGUGAGGGGAGUGAAAUAGAACCUGAAACCGUGUACGUACAAGCAGUAGGAGCAGGCUUUGUCCUGUGACUGCGUACCUUUUGUAUAAUGGGUCAGCGACUUAUAUUCAGUGGCAAGGUUAACCAUCUAGGGGAGCCGUAGGGAAACCGAGUCUUAACUGGGCGUUCAGUCUCUGGAUAUAGACCCGAAACCAGGUGAUCUAGCCAUGGGCAGGUUGAAGGUUGAGUAACAUCAACUGGAGGACCGAACCGACUAAUGUUGAAAAAUUAGCGGAUGACUUGUGGCUAGGGGUGAAAGGCCAAUCAAACCUGGAGAUAGCUGGUUCUCCCCGAAAGCUAUUUAGGUAGCGCCUCGGACGAAUACUACUGGGGGUAGAGCACUGUUAAGGCUAGGGGGUCAUCCCGACUUACCAACCCUUUGCAAACUCCGAAUACCAGUAAGUACUAUCCGGGAGACACACGGCGGGUGCUAACGUCCGUCGUGGAGAGGGAAACAACCCAGACCGCCAGCUAAGGUCCCAAAUUACUACUAAGUGGGAAACGAUGUGGGAAGGCUCAGACAGCCAGGAUGUUGGCUUAGAAGCAGCCAUCAUUUAAAGAAAGCGUAAUAGCUCACUGGUCGAGUCGGCCUGCGCGGAAGAUGUAACGGGGCUAAGUAGUAAACCGAAGCUGCGGCAAUAUACUUUUGUAUAUUGGGUAGGGGAGCGUUCUGUAAGCGGUUGAAGGUGUGUGGUAACGCAUGCUGGAC
rnacentral:rRNA from 1 species